rnacentral:rRNA from 1 species
GAUGAACGCUGGCGGCGUGCCUAAUACAUGCAAGUCGAGCGAACGGACGAGAAGCUUGCUUCUCUGAUGUUAGCGGCGGACGGGUGAGUAACACGUGGAUAACCUACCUAUAAGACUGGGAUAACUUCGGGAAACCGUAGCUAAUACCGGAUAAUAUUUUGAACCGCAUGGUUCAAAAGUGAAAGACGGUCUUGCUGUCACUUAUAGCUGGAUCCGCGCUGCAUUAGCUAGUUGGUAAGGUAACGGCUUACCAAGGCAACGAUGCAUAGCCGACCUGAGAGGGUGAUCGGCCACACUGGAACUGAGACACAGUCCAGACUCCUACGGGAGGCAGCAGUAGGGAAUCUUCCGCAAUGGGCGAAAGCCUGACGGAGCAACGCCGCGUGAGUGAUGAAGGUCUUCGGAUCGUAAAACUCUGUUAUUAGGGAAGAACAUAUGUGUAAGUAACUGUGCAAAUCUUGACGGUACCUAAUCAGAAAGCCACGGCUAACUACGUG